rnacentral:lncRNA from 1 species
AGCCAUUCUAAGUAUAAGUUAAAAAUCUUCAGUCUGGACCAGCAACAUUUCUUUGGUAUUUCACCUUAAGGAGCCCUGUGUGCACUGUAAUGUCCUGUUCUGCUGCCCCUGUCCCACAGUAGUCAGCCAAGCCUGGAUCCAUAAUUAUAAGACACCUCACUAAGCCUUGUUUUCCUGCACUCUCUCUGCAGACAAUGAAGAAAUACUGAAAUCUCUCAUUUCUCAGUUGUCCAUGAAGGCUUUGCUGUAGGCAAAAAGGGAGUACCAGCUCUAUACCUGUAAGCCCAAAAUCUGCACAUCAUCUCUCACAAACAAUGGAAAUAGCAUGUGAGAAUAACAAGUUGAAGCCCUUUCCCAGCUUUACCAGGAAAGAGGAAUUGCAGGCUGGACUGCAACAGAAGACAAAUACAGCUGCUGAAGAAUGGAGUAACUGA